AAACCAACAGGGAUUGCCUUAGUAGCGGCGAGUGAAGCGGCAAAAGCUCAAAUUUGAAAUCUGGUACCUUUGGUGCCCGAGUUGUAAUUUGAAGAAAACAAUCUUGGAUUUGGCCUUUGUCUAUGUUCCUUGGAACAGGACGUCAUAGAGGGUGAGAAUCCCGUUCGAUGAGGUGUCCAUUUCUUUGUAAGAUGUUUUCGAAGAGUCGAGUUGUUUGGGAAUGCAGCUCUAAGUGGGUGGUAAAUUCCAUCUAAAGCUAAAUAUUGGCGAGAGACCGAUAGCGAACAAGUACUGUGAAGGAAAGAUGAAAAGAACUUUGAAAAGAGAGUGAAAAAGUACGUGAAAUUGUUGAAAGGGAAGGGUAUUUGAUCAGACUUGGUAUUUAGUUGUCACUGUUCCUUGUGGAUGGUGUUCUAACUUUUUACUGGGCCAGCAUCAGUUUUGGUGGCAAGAUAAUGACUGUUGAAUGUAGCUCCUUCUGGAGUAUUAUAGCUUCUGUUGAUGUUGCCUACCGGGACUGAGGUCUGCGGCUUUGCCUAGGAUGCUGGCGUAAUGAUCCAAUACCGCCC
rnacentral:rRNA from 1 species